rnacentral:rRNA from 1 species
UGGCGGACGGGUGAGUAAUGUCUGGGAAACUGCCUAAUGGAGGGGGAUAACUACUGGAAACGGUAGCUAAUACCGCAUAACGUCACAAGACCAAAGAGGGGGACCUUAGGGCCUCUUGCCAUCGGAUGUGCCCAGAUGGGAUUAGCUAGUAGGUGGGGUAACGGCUCACCUAGGCGACGAUCCCUAGCUGGUCUGAGAGGAUGACCAGCCACACUGGAACUGAGACACGGUCCAG